UUCCGGUUGAUCCUGCCGGAGGCGACCGCUUUGGGAGUUCGAUUAAGCCAUGCGAGUCGUGAGUCUUAGGGACUCGGCAUACUGCUCAGUAACACGUGGAUAACCUGCCCUAUCGUCUGGAAUAACCUCGGGAAACUGAGAAUAAGGCCGGAUAGUUCACAAUGCCUGGAACGGUUUGUGAAUCAAGGUAGGAUGGGUCUGCGGCGUAUCAGGUUGUAGGGGGUGUAAAGGACCCCCUAGCCUUCGACGCGUACGGGUGUUGGGAGACAUAGCCCGGAGAUGGAUUCUGAGACACGAAUCCAGACCCUACGGGGUGCAGCAGGCGCGAAAACUUCACACUGCAGGAAACUGUGAUGAGGGAACUCCUAGUGCAUGCACUAUGUGUAUGUAGAUCCUACUCUUAACAAGUAGAGGGAAAGGGCUGGGAAAGACCGGUGCCAGCCGCCGCGGUAAUACCGGCAGCUCAAGUGGUCGUCGCUUUUAUUGGGCCUAAAACGUCCGUAGCCUGUUUGGUAAAUCUGUGGGUAAAUCAAUCCGCUCAACGGAUUGAAUUCUGCAGAGACUGCCAGACUAGGGACCGGGAGAGGUGUGGGGUACUCGAGGGGUAGGGGUAAAAUCCUGUCAUCCUUCGAGGACCACCAGUUGCGAAGGCGCCACACUGGAACGGAUCCGACGGUCAGGGACGAAGCCUAGGGGCACGAACCGGAUUAGAUACCCGGGUAGUCCUAGGUGUAAACGCUGUGAACUUGGUGUCGGGGGUCCGCAAGGGGUCCCCGGUGCCGGAGUGAAGAUGUUAAGUUCACUGCCUGGGGAGUACGGUCGCAAGGCUGAAACUUAAAGGAAUUGGCGGGGCAGCAC
rnacentral:rRNA from 1 species